rnacentral:rRNA from 1 species
UACGGAGGGGGCGAGCGUUAUUCGGAAUUAUUGGGCGUAAAGGGCGCGUAGGCGGCCUUGUAAGUCAAAGGUGAAAUCCCUCGGCUCAACUGAGGAACUGCCUUUGAAACUGCAAGGCUUGAGGCCGGGAGGGGGUAGCGGAAUUCCCAAUGUAGCGGUGAAAUGCGUAGAUAUCUGGAGGAACACCGGUGGCGAAGGCGGCAUCCUGGACCGGCAUUGACGCUGAGGCGCGAAAGCCAGGGGAGCAAACGGG